GGGCCUUUGCUCAGUGGCAGAGCAUCUGCCUUUCAAGCAGAAAUUCCCAGGUUCAAUUCCCAGCAUCUCUG